CGGGCCGCUGCAGCAGUGAGGAAUUUUGCGCAAUGGGGGAAACCCUGACGCAGCAACGCCGCGUGAGCGAAGAAGGCCCUCGGGUCGUAAAGCUCUGUCAAGUGGGAAAAAAAAUCUUUUGAUCAAUAGUCAAAAGACUUGAUGGUACCACUGGAGGAAGCACCGGCUAACUCCGUGCCAGCAGCCGCGGUAAUACGGAGGGUGCAAGCGUUGUUCGGAUUUACUGGGCGUAAAGAGCGUGUAGGCGGUUUAGCAAGUCAGAUGUGAAAGCCCUGGGCUCAACCCGGGAAGUGCAUUUGAAACUGCUUCACUAGAGUAUGGGAGAGGAGAUUGGAAUUCCUGGUGUAGAGGUGAAAUUCGUAGAUAUCAGGAGGAACACCCGUGGCGAAGGCGAUUCUCUGGACCAAUACUGACGCUGAGACGCGAAAGCGUGGGGAGCAAACAGGAUUAGAUACCCUCGUAGUC
rnacentral:rRNA from 1 species